AGGACUCGUAGUGAGUCAGUCAGAGUACAGUAAGAUAAAACCUUACAGCUGGCCCACCUCCUGUAUUGGCGGUGUGGCUGUUAGAGAAUGCUGUUAGAGAAUGCAGUACUGCGUUUGUUUGUGUUUUCUCUUAUGGCAGAAGUAGCCCUGGCUGCUACUGUCCUCUCAUAGACGGGCGGCAGGGUAGCCUAGUGGUUAGAGCGUUGGACUAGUGGACUAGGUUGCAAGUUCCAACCCCCGAGCUGACAUGGUACAAAUCUGUCGUUAUGCCCCUGAACAGGCAGUUAUGCCCCUGUUCCUAGGCCGUCAUUGAAAAUAAGAAUUUGUUCUUAACUGACUUGCCUAGUUAAAUAAAGGUAAAAUAAAAUAGUGGGGCCAUAGGGCCUUCUCCAUUUCCCAGCCACCAACCCAACCAGGCAGACAGAUGUCACCUUCAGCCUCCUCCCCCGGCCCUCCCUCUGAGCUCUGGCAGCCUGCACCCCCAGACAGGUAACUGUCUGGGUUAUUCAUAUCGUCUUCCUGGUCUCCUGAUACCUCUCUUGACCUUUGUUCCUCAAUCUUUCUCCACUAUAUCUCGCUCUCUUUCUGUUUCUUGCUCUCUCUCACAGUUUGUUCUAGUAAAUCUGUCCUCCUUCCUCUCUCUAGGUGAAAACAACAUCCCAGCCUCUGUCCUCCAUAUCCAGCUGUUAGGCACCAGGACAGUUCAGGUGAAUAACAUCCCAGCCUCUGUCCUCCAUAUCCAGCUGUUAGGCACCAGGACAGUUCAGGUGAAUAACAUCCCAGCCUCUGUCCUCCAUAUCCAGCUGUUAGGCACCAGGUCAGUUCAGGUGAAUAACAUCCCAGCCUCUGUCCUCCAUAUCCAGCUGUUAGGCACCAGGACAGUUCAGGUGAAUAACAUCCCAGCCUCUGUCCUCCAUAUCCAGCUGUUAGGCACCAGGUCAGUUCAGGUGAAUAACAUCCCAGCCUCUGUCCUCCAUAUCCAGCUGUUAGGCACCAGGUCAGUUCAGGUGAAUAACAUCCCAGCCUCUGUCCUCCAUAUCCAGCUGUUAGGCACCAGGACAGUUCAGGUGAAUAACAUCCCAGCCUCUGUCCUCCAUAUCCAGCUGUUAGGCACCAGGUCAGUUCAGGUGAAUAACAUCCCAGCCUCUGUCCUCCAUAUCCAGCUGUUAGGCACCAGGACAGUUCAGGUGAAUAACAUCCCAGCCUCUGUCCUCCAUAUCCAGCUGUUAGGCACCAGGUCAGUUCAGGUGAAUAACAUCCCAGCCUCUGUCCUCCAUAUCCAGCUGUUAGGCACCAGGUCAGUUCAGGUGAAUAACAUCCCAGCCUCUGUCCUCCAUAUCCAGCUGUUAGGCACCAGGACAGUUCAGGUGAAUAACAUCCCAGCCUCUGUCCUCCAUAUCCAGCUGUUAGGCACCAGGUCAGUUCAGGUGAAUAACAUCCCAGCCUCUGUCCUCCAUAUCCAGCUGUUAGGCACCAGGUCAGUUCAGGUGAAUAACAUCCCAGCCUCUGUCCUCCAUAUCCAGCUGUUAGGCACCAGGACAGUUCAGGUGAAUAACAUCCCAGCCUCUGUCCUCCAUAUCCAGCUGUUAGGCACCAGGUCAGUUCAGGUGAAUAACAUCCCAGCCUCUGUCCUCCAUAUCCAGCUGUUAGGCACCAGGACAGUUCAGGUGAAUAACAUCCCAGCCUCUGUCCUCCAUAUCCAGCUGUUAGGCACCAGGACAGUUCAGGUGAAUAACAUCCCAGCCUCUGUCCUCCAUAUCCAGCUGUUAGGCACCAGGACAGUUCAGGUGAAUAACAUCCCAGCCUCUUUCCUCCAUAUCCAGCUGUUAGGCACCAGGACAGUUCAGGUGAAUAACAUCCCAGCCUCUGUCCUCCAUAUCCAGCUGUUAGGCACCAGGACAGUUCAGGUGAAUAACAUCCCAGCCUCUGUCCUCCAUAUCCAGCUGUUAGGCACCAGGACAGUUCAGGUGUCAGCAGAAUGCACCGUGGGUUGUCACAGCGGAUAUUGUCAUGGUGUGACGCAAUGGCCGCCUCGACUGACCUCCAAACUCCUGUGUCAGCAUGACAACAGGGGAACAUGUCACACCGUGUGAUAUGUCCCGUGCCAAGACGAGGAGGACAGUGCUGGCCCAGCAAAGUUUUCCCGGAGCAGAACAGACAAUAAUAAACAGCACUUUGUCUUAUGAAAAAUGUUUUGUGCUUUUGUUGUUUGUCCAACUUUAAGUUAAAUCGCGUGAAACCUUGUCAAAACAGAUCCUAUCUGUGACAGGAAACCAUUAAGAGCCGUCAGCGAAUCUUAUCACUAUGGUGGCGCGUUGCUAGCGCUGACACAGCAUAUUUAUGUAUGUUGCGUGUUGUUUCUCUUUGUAAAACAUUUUGCCUUAGUGCAAUGGAGGUGGUUCUGAUCCACACUCGUGUGAUGAUGAGUAACCUUGCCUGAGACCUGAAAACCUGUUUUAGCUCCCAAAGCUAAUUCCUAGGCUUUAGCUCCUUGGGCUAACACAGUAUUACAGCAUGCAGGAGACCCAGGUUUCAAACCAGUAGUCUGUCACAUUUUGAGCUUGUGACGUUCCUUCUAACUCCUGACUCAGGCCAGAACAGUAUGAACAGAUCUCAGAGACACGGGAAAGCAUCCUCCCUCUAAGGACCCUAAUAGUCUCUGAUAGAGAGGGUGCCGAAAGAUAUACCAGCUGCCCUGUGACGAUCCAGGGCCCUUGACACGCUGAUGCCCCAGCGGCCAUCCGUCAGAGCAGGGACAGGGGACCGGUGACGGGCUGAGUGGGUCGCUGGGCCGGCCAUGCCCUGCCUCUACCGAGACUCAUUGGCAGUGAUGGAUCACCGGCUGGCUGGGGCAUUAAACAUUCCCUCCCUCUUUCCCUCUCCUUCCCUCCCUCUUUCCCUCUCCCCUUCCCUCUCUCCGCCAGCUGAUCCAGCACACAUCUUCCACCCCCUCUUCCUCCUCCACAGGGCCAGACGCUCUGCACACCAAGCAACCCCCACAGAUGCCUCCACAGACUUGGAUUAUUUCAUCAGCUGCCUGGUCCCCUCCCCACAUCUCCACAGCCACACAGCAACAUAGUCAGCAGGGUUAUAUAUGGAUGUGGAUGAGCUGGUGUGACAACCAGCCUGUUUGUCGUGUGUGGCAAGCAGCUAGAGAGGGAUGCUGAAAUGCCAGCGCAGGGGAAUUUAGAGAGCUAGAGUGGGAUGCUGAAAUGCCAGCGCAGGGGAAUUUAGAGAGCUAGAGUGGGAUGCUGAAAUGCCAGCGCAGGGGAAUUUAGAGAGCUAGAGUGGGAUGCUGAAAUGCCAGCGCAGGGGAAUUUAGAGAGCUAGAGAGGGAUGCUGAAAUGCCAGCGCAGGGGAAUUUAGAGAGCUAGAGUGGGAUGCUGAAAUGCCAGCGCAGGGGAAUUUCGAGAGCUAGAGAGGGAUGCUGAAAUGCCAGGCAGGGGAAUUUAGAGAGCUAGAGUGGGAUGCUGAAAUGCCAGCGCAGGGGAAUUUAGAGAGCUAGAGAGGGAUGCUGAAAUGCCAGGCAGGGGAAUUUAGAGAGCUAGAGAGGGAUGCUGAAAUGCCAGGCAGGGGAAUUUCAUCAGUGCUUUUUAUGGUGUUGGAUUGUAAACAGUACUGUACUGCAUGUGGUUUUCAGGAACGUGUAAAAUAUGUACUGUGUGGAUUCUUCAUAUUUGUAUAAUUCUUAAUCUGUUUUGUUCUUGUUUGUUAAGCAGUAUGAAUGUAAUAUAUUUUGGCCUUUUACUGGUAGGUAUUUUAGUGGUAAGCACUUACGUUACUGUCCAGGGUUAAAUUAAUCGAGCCAGGUCAAGAGAGCCCUGAUGUCACACCUGUACUUGACAGGAGUUACGGUGUGUCAAUAAAUUCAGACCCUUCCCGCUGUUUCGCACGCUAUUAUCUUAUUGAUUGCACAUUCUCGUCAGGACCUCAUGUGAAGGGGGCCCUGGAAAUCACCCAUAAAUUUGUCCAAGUGACCUUUAGGUAAUAAGUCAAUGCCUGGACAGGACUUCACCCCCUCCAGCCAAGCAGCUCCUACGCAGACUUCGGUCUUGGCAGAAAGCAGAUAAAAGCAGUUGUGUGUACUACACAACUCCACUCAAAACCUCCCUCUGAUUGCUUAGAAUUUAGAUUAAAGAAUCAAAUCGAAUAUAACUUUAUUGUCCACCCAAGGAUGCGACAAUGUUCCAAUGUUCCUUUAGCAAGGAAGCAAAUCAUUGAAAUUGUUCAUCAUUAUAGUGCAAUAGUCUCUAUUUGAGUUUGUCCAAUAAAGAAGCGUACUUUCAGUUUUAAGCUUUUCCAGGGUUUUAAGUGGAAAGUAGGGACAGAUCACUGCAGGGGAGGGAGCAGGGACAGAUCACUGCAGGGGAGGGAGCAG
ensembl:lncRNA